CCCAACCGCAAAGCGGAAGGGAAAACAUGUUUCAGCCCAGCACACCACCUACAGUAGCAGUAUGGUAGAUCUGCACCUUUUGGCUUUUGGCAAUGCUCUACGCUCUGCAUCAACUGCGCUGAUAUGAGGGUCCGUAGUUCUAGUUUUUUUUUAAAAAGUUUUCAGAAGAGCCUCGAGCUCCAUUUCCCCCCGUCUCCUCCCCAAGCGGCCAAGCCAAUGGUGGUUCUGAGGCAGCCGCCGAACACGAAGGGCACGCCCAAGGAGGCCGCUCCUCGUCGCCUGCCAACUCCGGUCAGCUCAUUCCACUUGCCCGAAUGCAUUGGCCUCCGCUUGUUCGCAGCCUCGUUUGGUGGCGUCGCCUGGCCGGUUUGCAUUUUGUCCCCCGGCAUGUCGGCGGCGACAGCGCAGUGCCAGAUGCCAGUGAUGAACGAGAAGGGUUAUCAUUGAUCCAGUGUCGAAAAACUGGAAGGGAUACCAGUAAUUCAGCGUCGAACUCGAACAAUAGCAAACAGGUAGGUAGCACCGGUGAAUGUAAGCAUUUGUUAACGAUUAUGAAGUCUCUUAUUUGGUGUCAGCGUGCCAGGUGCCGGAGAACAUGUUGUUGCUUGAUGUCUUCAUAUGCAUGUUCCUGUGGCUGUGCCAUACGCGUUGUGAUAAUUGGGCAAUGCUUACUAGGAGUGGGUUGCAACACGGCAUUGCAGAUGCAAAAGGGUGACCAUACUUUCACGUUC